UACAGUCCAGGUUGGCCUCAAGUCCUUAUCAGCUGAAGAUGAUCUUUCCUGAUCCUCCUGCUUCAACUUCCUUCCGGCUGAGAUGGCAGUCGCCAUGCCUAUCCUGAUGAAUUCCUAAUCUGAAGGAUUAAGACAAACUACUUUGGAGUGUUAGACAGGCUUUCCCUCUAGGUGUGUUGACACACACUUUCAGCCAAGGUCAAAGGAUGCAGAAGGAAGGGGAACUCUGUAAAUCUGAGGCCAGCCUGGUCUACAUAGCAAGGAGAGCCAGACCACGGUGAGAGGCCCUGUCUUUAACAAAAAAGGAGGGACGGAGGGUCUCGCUGCACAGCACUCAAUGGCUGGGGACUCUGUAGAACAAGCUGUCCACAACUCCCUACCCCGGCCCCCGCCUCCAAGCUGUUGGACUCGCUCACGGCCUUGUACCACCACACUAGGCUUUAGAAAAGAAUCUCAUAUAAUUUAUCUGUCAACUGAAGCAAAAGACUCCUCUUAUCCCAAUCGACACCCAGUCCUCCAAGUGUCUUUAAAGUAGCACUAUAGGGCUGGAGCAAUGGCUCAGUAGUUAAGAGCACGGACUGCUCUUCCAGAGGUCCUGAGUUCAAAUCCCAGCAACCACAUGGUGGCUCACAACCAUCUGUAAUGGGAUCUGAUGCCCUCUUCUGGUGUGUCUGAACACAGUGACAGUAUAAAAAAAUAAAUAAAC